UGGGGAAUUUUGGACAAUGGGGGAAACCCGUGAUCCAGCCAUCCCGCGUGUGCGAUGAAGGCCUUCGGGUUGUAAAGCACUUUUGGCAGGAAAGAAACGUCGCGGGUUAAUACCCCGCGAAACUGACGGUACCUGCAGAAUAAGCACCGGCUAACUACGUGCCAGCAGCCGCGGUAAUACGUAGGGUGCAAGCGUUAAUCGGAAUUACUGGGCGUAAAGCGUGCGCAGGCGGUUCGGAAAGAAAGAUGUGAAAUCCCAGAGCUUAACUUUGGAACUGCAUUUUUAACUACCGGGCUAGAGUGUGUCAGAGGGAGGUGGAAUUCCGCGUGUAGCAGUGAAAUGCGUAGAUAUGCGGAGGAACACCGAUGGCGAAGGCAGCCUCCUGGGAUAACACUGACGCUCAUGCACGAAAGCGUGGGGAGCAAACAGGAUUAGAUACCCUGGUAGUCACGCCCUAAACGAUGUCAACUAGCUGUUGGGGGCCUUCGGGCCUUGGUAGGCGCAGCUAACGCGUGAAGUUGACCGCCUGGGAGUACGGUC
rnacentral:rRNA from 1 species